UACUCCAUGCAGGACAUGGGAGGGGGAGGGAUUCACCCUGUGUAAACAGGAAUAGGUGCAUCACCGGUCACUGAGCUGGCAAGCUAAAGUUAGCUAGUUAGUCAUAGAAAUGUAGUUCAGCCUGUUAAUUAUUUCAGUCCGAUUUGACUUAUCUUACGAAGUCCGCAUGGCUUAACAGUUUCUUUCGUUUUUGACCUCGACGUUGUUGCUGGAUAGAUACUUUCAUAUCUAACAUGCUGGCGAUGCUAGCCAGCUAACCUCAUAUCUGGAUGCCUCACUCUAGUUCCCGAUAGAGCAGCAUACUGGACCUCCAUUCCCAAACUUGAAGCCCCCUGUCCCCAGCUGGAAAGACCAGGAAAAAGUGUUGGCUUAAGAUCUGCCAACCUGCUCGGUGGGUGACAGGUAACCGUCUUUCCACCAAGCUGUUCCAGGCCUGGAGUGGCACGUUGGAACUUCCAGAGGCUUGUAGACCUAAAGCGGUGUGAUGUGGUCCAGAUCUGACACCCCUAUUAGCUCAACCACAGUCUUCACAGCUGCAGUCGUCUGCAUCUGAUACACCGGCCACGACAGGUGAUACAGAGACGGGAAGAGGUGAUUGGAACAGAAUACUUGACAGCUUACUGCCAUGGCUAGAGUGUGGUGUGUCCCUAUGGAAUUGGUUAGAGAAUGCCAUGCACCCUUGGGAAUAAAGCCUUCAGCAGUGGAUUUGGGUUGUGGUCAUUAUUGUGGAGUCACUACAAUGUGGUUGAUCCAUCCUCACCAAGGCCUCAUGGCGACAUACCUGAGCAGUUUCCUUCCUGUCCUGCAUCUCAAUUCCAAAGGACAACUGUAUCUUUGAUGUGUCUGGGUGGUUUAAUACAUCAUCCACAGCAUAUUAUUAACUUGGCCAUGCUUAAAUAGAUAUUCAAUGUCUGAUUUGUUAUUAUGACUUAUCUACCAAUCACUGCCUUUCUUUAUGAGGCUUGCAAAAAGCUUCCUGGUCUUUGCAGUUGAAAUUGUGCUUGAAAUGCAAUAUUUGAAUGAGGGACCUAACAGAUGUUGAAGGUAUGGGGGACAGAGGAAGGGGUAGUCAUUCAAAAAUCGUGUUGACUCAUAUUAUUUCACACAGAGUGAGUCCAUGUAACUUGAUUUGUUAUGCAAAAUGUUACUCCUGAACUAAUUUAUUUCAGUAGUUAUGAAAUUAGUAUAUUUCAUUUGUAUAAAUUAGUAAACAUUUGUGGAAUUUUCUUUUCACUUUGACAUUAUGGAGUAUUUUGUGUAGAUCAAUGACAAAAAAAAUCUACGAAAUGUGAAUUCAAGGGGGGUGAGGUAGCCUAGCAGUUAAAGAGGUGAGGUAGCCUAGCAGUUAAAGAGCGUUGGGCAAUUAACUGAAAGGUCACUGGU